AGUUAGAGAAAUUCCUCUUCGCAGAUCUUCUUCUCGAGUUGGAACUCAAGUGACCAGGGUGGAGUGUUCACGGUGAAGAAGCACUUGAAAGUCUGAGAGAAACACAAGAAGCAACAGUGAGGAGACUGGGGGCUCUUGCAGCUCUCAGCAGGAACAAGUGGCUGUCUCCAUCAUAGCUUCUCAUGGGGGCAAGUACCCACCAUCUCCUACCAGACCGUGCAGCCCAGCAGGGAGAUAAAAUGCCACCCACAGAGGCCACGUCUUUGCCCCAGCAGCUCUGAGGCCACAGAACCUGCAGCUGACGCUUCAGCAAAUGGUCUCAGCCAAGGAGUAAGAGCGCCAAGUCUACAGAUCCAGUUCCUUCAAUAUUGUUAGUGGACAAUUGUUAGCCCUUGCUGCUUGCCAUUUGGACAUCCAACUCAGCAGACAUGAGUGCUGUCCUGGAAGUUCAAGAGCCUGAGUCCAGCAUCUGCCGAGCUCCAGGUCACGGCCUCCUGGUGGUAGGAGUACAGGUGCCUGCAGAAGAUGGAUCGCACUGAGAGGGCAUCAGACGCAGACCUGGGAACCAGGUAGAGGGGAGACCUGGGAGGAUUGGGAAGAAACUGUUCCAUUGUUGGGUCUUUUCAUAGACGUGGAGUUUCUGGAUCUUUUUUAAGAGGAAAAAAUACUAAAAAUGAAUUUAUUAAUUUAAGUGUCACUUUAAUUAUUAUUGAGAAUUAUGAAUUUUUCAUUUUAGAAAAGCAACUUGAUUGGGAUAAGGAAUGUUCAACUUGAUACUGUAAUCUCUCUAUUCUGUUGAGGAACAGUACAGUAUACAUUACAAAGAAGAGAUGCUAUCCAAAAAAUACAUCUUAGAAGGUGUCUUGAAUAUGAGGUAGAAUUAGGAUGGACAUCUUGGGACACGAUGGUCCUUCUCUAGUGCUUGUUUAUAUGCCUGUGGAACUGUGGACUUGCUGUGUUUUACUUGUUGAAUAUUAUGGUUAGUGGUGACUUAAGCCUGUGCAUUAAAAUUAUGUCUUUACGAAAACUGAUGAAAGAGAAGGGAGGGAGUGAGGGUGAGGGUCGUGGGGGACAAGGUUGGGAGGGGGAAAUGUGGCCGUCUUCUUGGAACUGUAUGAAAUACAUGAACUCUGUCCUCUUUAUAUUAAUAACAUUUAAAAAUACUUUUAUUGCUUUCAGAAAUAAGAGCCAUAUUAU